rnacentral:rRNA from 1 species
UGAACGCUGGCGGCAUGCUUUUACACAUGCAAGUCGAACGGUAACAGGUCUUCGGAUGCUGACGAGUGGCGAACGGGUGAGUAAUACAUCGGAACGUGCCUAGUAGUGGGGGAUAACUACUCGAAAGAGUAGCUAAUACCGCAUGAGAUCUACGGAUGAAAGCAGGGGACCUUCGGGCCUUGUGCUACUAGAGCGGCUGAUGGCAGAUUUAGGUAGUUGGGUGGGGUAAAGGCUUACCAAGCCUGCGAUCUGUAGCUGGUCUGAGAGGACGACCAGCCACACUGGGACUGAGACACGGCCCAGACUCCUACGGGAGGCAGCAGUGGGGAAUUUUGGACAAUGGGCGAAAGCCUGAUCCAGCCAAUGCCGCGUGGCAGGAUGAAGGCCCUCGGGUUGUAAACUGCUUUUGUACGGAACGAAAAGCCUGGGGCUAAUAUCCCCGGGUCAUGACGGUACCGUAAGAAUAAGCACCGGCUAACUACGUGCCAGCAGCCGCGGUA